AGUCGAGCGNACAGAAGGGAGCUUGCUCCCGGAUGUUAGCGGCGGACGGGUGAGUAACACGUGGGUAACCUGCCUGUAAGACUGGGAUAACUCCGGGAAACCGGAGCUAAUACCGGAUAGUUCCUUGAACCGCAUGGUUCAAGGAUUGAAAGACGGUUUCGGCUGUCACUUACAGAUGGACCCGCGGCGCAUUAGCUAGUUGGUGGGGUAAUGGCUCACCAAGGCGACGAUGCGUAGCCGACCUGAGAGGGUGAUCGGCCACACUGGGACUGAGACACGGCCCAGACUCCUACGGGAGGCAGCAGUAGGGAAUCUUCCGCAAUGGACGAAAGUCUGACGGAGCAACGCCGCGUGAGUGAUGAAGGUUUUCGGAUCGUAAAGCUCUGUUGUUAGGGAAGAACAAGUGCGAGAGUAACUGCUCGCACCUUGACGGUACCUAACCAGAAAGCCACGGCUAACUACGUGCCAGCAGCCGCGGUAAUACGUAGGUGGCAAGCGUUGUCCGGAAUUAUUGGGCGUAAAGGGCUCGCAGGUGGUUUCUUAAGUCUGAUGUGAAAGCCCCCGGCUCAACCGGGGAGGGUCAUUGGAAACUGGGAAACUUGAGUGCAGAAGAGGAGAGUGGAAUUCCACGUGUAGCGGUGAAAUGCGUAGAGANNUGGAGGAACACCAGUGGCGAAGGCGACUCUCUGGUCUGUAACUGACGCUGAGGAGCGAAAGCGUGGGGAGCGAACAGGAUUAGAUACCCUGGUAGUCCACGCCGUAAACGAUGAGUGCUAAGUGUUAGGGGGUUUCCGCCCCUUAGUGCUGCAGCUAACGCAUUAAGCACUCCGCCUGGGGAGUACGGUCGCAAGACUGAAACUCAAAGGAAUUGACGGGGGCCCGCACAAGCGGUGGAGCAUNUGGUUUAAUUCGAAGCAACGCGAAGAACCUUACCAGGUCUUGACAUCCUCUGACAACCCUA
rnacentral:rRNA from 1 species